rnacentral:rRNA from 1 species
UACGGGGGGAGCAAGCGUUGUUCGGAUUUACUGGGCGUAAAGGGCGCGUAGGCGGCCACCGCAAGUCGACUGUGAAAUCUCUGGGCUUAACCCAGAACGGUCAGCCGAUACUGCGGGGCUAGAGUGCAGAAGGGGCAACUGGAAUUCUCGGUGUAGCGGUGAAAUGCGUAGAUAUCGAGAGGAACACCUGCGGCGAAGGCGGGUUGCUGGGCUGACACGGACGCUGAGGCGCGAAAGCUAGGGGAGCGAACGGG